rnacentral:lncRNA from 1 species
AUGCUGAGAAGGAGCUGGCCGUGCCAAGCCCCCAAGAAGACCAUUCCAGGGACAGGAGACUCAGGCAAAAGGAAAUACAAGAACGAAACCGACUGGGCCCCUGUGAAGGCCAGUGAGGCAGGACAGCGGGCCAGGGGACAGACAUGGAGUGGCCAGGGGUCAAGGACCGGCGACGGUGAGGAUGUCGACCAGCUGCAGUGUGAGGUCUCAGAGGAUUUAAGCAGAAGAGAGACCUCCACUUCCCACAGACCCCUCGUGCAGCCUGCGGAGACAGCCUGCAGGGACAAGAUGGACACAGGAGGAAGAGAGACCCCAGCCAUGGCCCAAAGCCAAAGUCAGCCAAGGUCAGCUGAGGCACAGAAGCCUGGCUGAGAACAAAGGACCGUGGCCGGGUCACCGAGUUUUGGAGUGGUUGCGUGGCAAUAAGAAACAGGUGUGUGUAAAUAUAUUCACUUACGUCUUUUAUUUCUUAUAAACACGACCAAGGGCAGGGAAGGGCAAAGGCAGAGGGGGAGGCUGCUCUGGGGUCUGAACCGCGUGGCCCCCUCGGGAGAGGACCAGACCCCAUCGCCCUGUGGGACUUGGGGUUCAGCCAGGCCCGGAAGGCAGGUUCCAGCAGCAGCUCAGGCCCCUCAGGAAGCACUGUCCUGGGGCAGGGAGCUCUACCCUCAGGCAGGCUUCGGAGGGUCCGGGGUCCCUGCAUGGAGUGCGAAGCUGGACGAGAGACCACUGAGGUGCCUUGGACUCUGAGGUCAGAGGUCAGAGGUCAGUUCUGCCCUUUGCCUUGUGUUUCUCCAGGAAAGCCAGAACAGACUGCCCAGGAGGCGGGAGACGGGGCACCACACCUGGGUGCCCAGGUACACCCCAGAGGCCGGGGCGGCCCUGCUGCCAGCCCCACACCCACCCUCCCAACUGGUCCAGGACCCAAAGGCGGUGUCCCAGGUCCACGCAGCACCUCAGCCCGAGGAAGGAGGCCAACGGCGCCGCCCGCUCCUUCUGCAUGCGACACCUGUCUGGAGGUUCCAUAACUCCUUCAGCCAGUCUUCCCUCCGUCUCCAGGAAACGCCAGCCAACGAUGUGAGUGGAGGCUGUGCCCGCCGCGCGAAGACGGACGAUCGCUCCAGCUUGCUGUGUGUUCACAGUGCAGCCGUCGCCUCAUUCCUCCCUCGCUCACACAUUCGGUUCUUCACCAAUCUACCAGAAGGUAGGCAAAUCCCGGACCCCAGGCGCGUGGAUCCCUGCAGCCCCGGCCGAUGCACUGCAUCCUCAGGGUCAGGGCUCCCCCAGGCUGGCCCGCAUCCCUCAGCACUGGGCACAUCCGUGACCCACCCCCAGCACAGGCCAGCAGGCUUGUGGGAGUAAGCCGGCACAGCACCGUGCAGCUGGCACCACGCACAGAGGCCACCUCUCCUGCCCCACGUGCUGGUGUCCUGGAGCUGGAAGUGAACCUGGAGCCAAGAGAAGGCCCAGGGAGCCGGUGCUCAGAGCCUUCGGGAGGAGGGCAGACCUGGCUCUGACUGCUGGUGUUUCCCACGGAGGAGCAGCCCCUCACGCCAGGCAGUGACACAGGAGAGAAAAGGUGCAGCUGAGGGGUUCAUGGGACAGAAGCAUGGCUAGACGGCAUGAGGUCAGCCCCAGGGAACCCCCAGAGGGGAAGUUCAACAGAAACAGAGACAGGAGCAGCUCCCCCAAAACCAGGCAGGCUGUGAGCCACCUUCCAGGGUGUCCUGAGAAAGCACAACGUUCCCAGGGGUUCCAGGACCAGAGUGGGGAUGGAGGGAGGAUGGGGCAGGGAUGGAGGCAGGAUGGCAUGGGGGUGGAGGAGUACCUGGUCAGGUUGGAGGGGGAGAGGGUGGCAUCUGGAUUGCACAACCAGGUGUUCUGGGACCUGGGCCACAUUUGAGAUCCUGGAGAGGGCAAGUAAAGAGCAGGGCUGUGGGAGGGGAGGUCCAGACAUUGUGUCUUCAAGGACAGAGCCCAUGACCCACAGAGUCAUCAGUCACCUCCCACCACCCCAACCUUUCCCCCUCCAUGGCUGAGGAAACCACAGGCACGGGGCCAGGGAGAGCCCACAGCAUGGAACCCAGUCAACCUGGAGCCAGACCCUGACCGGGGCCCAGGCUGCACCGUGAGGACCGUGGAGGAGGUUGAAGCGUCGUGUCUGCACGCAGAGUCAAGAACUGGCCUUGGGACAGAUGUAGAAGUCCCCAGGGCACCAGGCUGCCACUCUCCUCUCCACUCCUCUGUCUCACGCUUUCUCAGAUAAGCAUGCGUUGCUCUCAUGGAAAAACCUACUUACAAAAUAAAGUAUCACUGUUUUUCA